UACGUAGGGGGCUAGCGUUGUCCGGAAUCAUUGGGCGUAAAGCGCACGUAGGCGGCUUUGUAAGUUAGAGGUGAAAGCCCGGAGCUCAACUCCGGAAUUGCCUUUAAGACUGCAUCGCUUGAAUCCGGGAGAGGUGAGUGGAAUUCCGAGUGUAGAGGUGAAAUUCGUAGAUAUUCGGAAGAACACCAGUGGCGAAGGCGGCUCACUGGACCGGUAUUGACGCUGAGGUGCGAAAGCGUGGGGAGCAAACAGG
rnacentral:rRNA from 1 species